rnacentral:rRNA from 1 species
UCGGGUUGUAAAGCACUUUUGUCCGGAAAGAAAUCCCUUGCCCUAAUAUGGCGGGGGGAUGACGGUACCGGAAGAAUAAGCACCGGCUAACUACGUGCCAGCAGCCGCGGUAAUACGUAGGGUGCAAGCGUUAAUCGGAAUUACUGGGCGUAAAGCGUGCGCAGGCGGUCCGCUAAGACAGAUGUGAAAUCCCCGGGCUUAACCUGGGAACUGCAUUUGUGACUGGCGGGCUAGAGUAUGGCAGAGGGGGGUAGAAUUCCACGUGUAGCAGUGAAAUGCGUAGAGAUGUGGAGGAAUACCGAUGGCGAAGGCAGCCCCCUGGGCCAAUACUGACGCUCAUGCACGAAAGCGUGGGGAGCAAACAGGAUUAGAUACCCUGGUAGUCCACGCCCUAAACGAUGUCAACUAGUUGUCGGGUCUUCAUUGACUUGGUAACGAAGCUAACGCGUAAAGGUUGACCGCCUGGGGAGUACGGUCGCAAGAUUAAAACUCAAAGGAAUUUGACGGGGACCCGCACAAGCGGUGGAUGAUGUGGAUUAAUUUCGAUGCACGCGAAAAACCUUACCUACCCUUGACAUGUAUGGAAUCCUGCUG